GACGAACGCUGGCGGCGUGCUUAACACAUGCAAGUCGAACGGUGAAGCGCCUUCCUUUUUGGUGGGUGUGGAUGAGUGGCGAACGGGUGAGUAACACGUGAGUAACCUGCCCCCUUCUUCUGGAUAACCGCAUGAAAGUGUGGCUAAUACGGGAUAUUCUGGGUCUGUCGCAUGAUGGGUCUGGGAAAGAUAUUGUUUCGGUGGGGGAUGGGCUCGCGGCCUAUCAGCUUGUUGGUGGGGUGAUGGCCUACCAAGGCGGUGACGGGUAGCCGGCCUGAGAGGGUGGACGGUCACACUGGGACUGAGACACGGCCCAGACUCCUACGGGAGGCAGCAGUGGGGAAUAUUGCACAAGGGGCGCAAGCCUGAUGCAGCGACGCCGCGUGAGGGAUGGAGGCCUUCGGGUUGUGAACCUCUUUCGCCAGUGAAGCAGGCCUGCCUCGUUUGUGGGUGGGUUGACGGUAGCUGGAGAAGAAGCGCCGGCUAACUACGUG
rnacentral:rRNA from 1 species